rnacentral:rRNA from 1 species
UGGGGAAUCUUGCGCAAUGGGCGAAAGCCUGACGCAGCAAUGCCGCGUGAGUGAAGAAGGCCUUCGGGUCGUAAAGCUCUUUCGACUGGGAAGAAGGGUGUAUGAGUAAACAAUUCAUGCAUUUGACGGUACCUAAAGAAGAAGCACCGGCUAAUCUCGUGCCAGCAGCCGCGGUAAUACGAGAGGUGCAAGCGUUGUUCGGAAUUAUUGGGCGUAAAGCGCACGUAGGCGGGUUCGUAUGUCGAUUGUGAAAGCCCCAGGCUCAACCUGGGAAUUGCAGUCGAAACUGCGAAUCUUGAAUACCUGAGAGGGUGGGAGAAUUCCUGGUGGAGUAGUGAAAUACGUAGAGAUCAGGAGGAAUACCGGAGGCGAAGGCGCCUGCCUGGCAGUGUAUUGACGCUGAGGUGCGAAAGCGUGGGGAGCAAACAGG